CUUUCGUUUUUCCCCCAAAAAUGUACCUUCUUCCCGGAAUAGUAAAUCCACUGAUCAUAGCAAUGACAUGUACAUUGAAACUUAUGCCCAGACAGAAAUUGGUUAAUAUAAUGAAAGGGGUUGGUAGAUGUGCUACAACGGCGCUUACUGAGUACAUUGGUUUACUGUAGUUUCUAUGGUCUUCCGCCGGGCCGGUACGCUGCGCAGGUUUGGAACGCGCGCCAUUUUGUGACAUUUACAAAAAAAGGUUUCUUCAAGAAAACAGGGUCUUCAAGUUUUUUUCCGUAUAAAAAAAAAAAUGCUUUGGAAGCAACGCUACUCUCGCUGAAAUGGAAGUAUCGACCAACUAAUGGUGUACAUGCCUACAUCGAAAUGUUGGUUUCUCUAUGGUCAGAUCGAAUACAGUAAGUUUCUGCUGUUGACGGUGGUGGCGAGUUGACGGAGAGGCGCUGUUGAUUUGGAAACAGAAUUGACAUCUACUCAGAGGAGUGAGGGUUGUACGUUGGGAAAUCUGGGGGGGCUCCAUGGAGAAGAGACUGUAUUCAAUAAUUCGCCGUAAGGCAUUGGGGAUUGUAAAUGAGGAUAUUUUUCUGGAAUAGGAAGACUGACAGGCAGCGACAAAGUGAGCUGUGGUGUGCUGCUGGACUCUCCUGCCAGGAUGAUAUGAGAGUUACCAGGAGACAAUGCAUACAGGAGGAGAGACUUCAGCAUGCAAACCUUCAUCUGUCCGGCUUGCCCCCUCGUUUUCGUUCCACGCUGCUGGGCUUCAGAUGGCUGCUCCCAUGCCCCAUUCACACCAGCAGUACAGUGAGCGGCACCAGCAGACAACUGACAAGUCUGUGCCGGCUCUGCCCUACAGCGAGCAGGCGCAGCAGUCUGUCACCAGCCAGGUGACCCCUGAUGUUGUCAUGUUACAGAGGCGCAUGCCCCAGUGCUUUCGCGACCCGUCCUCGGCUCCCCUGAGGAAGCUCUCUAUUGACCUGAUCAAAACCUACAAAUGCAUCAAUGAGGUAUACUAUGCAAAAAAGAAGCGGAGACACCAACAGGGCCAGGGCGACGACUCCAGUCACAAAAAGGAGAGGAAGGUCUUCAACGACGGCUACGAUGACGAUAACUACGACUACAUCGUCAAGAAUGGGGAGAAAUGGAUGGACCGCUACGAGAUCGACUCCUUGAUAGGCAAAGGCUCGUUUGGACAGGUUGUAAAAGCAUAUGACCGUGUUGAGCAGGAGUGGGUAGCAAUUAAGAUCAUCAAGAACAAGAAGGCUUUUCUAAAUCAAGCCCAGAUUGAAGUGCGGCUCCUCGAGCUCAUGAACAAACAUGACACGGAGAUGAAGUACUACAUAGUUCACCUUAAGCGCCACUUCAUGUUUCGGAGCCACCUGUGUUUGGUGUUUGAGAUGCUCUCCUACAACCUGUACGACCUGCUGCGGAACACCAACUUCCGCGGCGUCUCGCUCAACCUCACACGCAAGUUUGCCCAGCAGAUGUGCACGGCUCUAUUGUUCCUGGCCACCCCCGAGCUCAGCAUCAUCCACUGUGACCUGAAGCCCGAGAACAUCCUAUUGUGCAACCCCAAGAGGAGCGCCAUCAAGAUCGUGGACUUUGGCAGCUCCUGUCAGCUGGGACAGAGGAUCUACCAGUACAUCCAGAGUCGGUUCUACCGAUCCCCAGAGGUGUUGCUGGGCAUGCCUUACGACCUGGCCAUUGACAUGUGGUCCCUGGGCUGCAUCCUGGUGGAGAUGCACACCGGAGAGCCCCUCUUUAGUGGGGCCAACGAGAUUGAUCAAAUGAACAAAAUAGUGGAAGUGCUGGGCGUCCCUCCCAAUUACAUAUUAGACCAGGCCCCCAAGGCCAGGAAGUUCUUUGAGAAGAUGUCUGACAGUACGUGGGGUGCAAAGAAGACCAAAGAUGGCAAAAGGUAUAAGCCGCCGGGCACGCGGAAGCUGCACAGCAUUCUGGGUGUGGAGGCGGGGGGUCCUGGGGGGCGGCGGGCAGGCGAGUCUGGCCACGCUGUAGCCGACUACUUGAAGUUCAAGGACCUAAUCCUGCGGAUGCUGGACUACGACCCCAAGAGCCGCAUCCAGCCCUACUACGCUCUGCAGCAUAGCUUCUUCAAGAAGACGGCGGAUGAGGGGACCAAUACGAGCAGCAGUGUGUCCACCAGCCCAGCACUGGAGCAGUCCCAGUCCUCGGGAACCACCUCCAGCACCUCCUCCAGCUCAGGUAGGGAGAGCACUGCAGCUGCUAGGAGAAGUGGGUGUUCAUGAUGAAGCUUUAGCAUGAUGUUAGACCCGUGUCUCUGUCCAAUCCUGGGGGAACCCCAGGCUGUUCACUUUGUUUGUUCUAGCCCAGCACACUGGGAAUCCCUCAGGAAUGGAUUUCAAACCCUGGAUCAGACAUGAUGAAAUGAUAGCAAUGAACUAACAGCUCAGGAGGGUCAUCUGGCACAAGCACCAGUGGGCGGGCUCGCUCGGACCCCACGCAUCAGCUCCGGCACAGCGGAGGUCACUUCAGCGCCUCCGUGCAGGUCAUGGACUGCGAAAAUCUCUGCCCACAGGCGAGGCAGCCGUUUCCUCCCCCCGUGGGCUGGGCUGGUGGCGAAGGGGUGCAGACGGUGACGGUGGAGACCCAUCCCGUCCAGGAGACCACCUUCCACGUGCCUCCCCAGGCGCCCAAAGCCAUCCACCCUUUAGCCCCCGGCAACAUCUCCUCCACCCAUCACCACCAUCACCACGGACACCAUCACCAUGGACACCAUCAUCCUCAUGGACAGCAGGGCCUGCCAGCACGGCCCCGGCCCCGCCUAUACCGCUCCCCCACCAACAGCGCCUCCACGGAGAACUCCAUGGAGGUGGUGCACGGCCACCUGUCCAUGACCUCCCUGUCUUCCUCCGCCUCCUCCUCCUCCACAUCUUCCUCCUCCACCGGGGCCCAGGGCAACCAGGCCUACCAGUUGCGCCCGCUCCCCACCAACGCAGCCUUGGACUUUGGUAGGAAUGGGAGCAUGACCAUGGGACUGGGUGCCUUCUCCAACCCCAGACAAGAGACUGGAAUGGCGGGCCACCCCACCUACCCCAUGGGCAUGAGACAGGGCAUAGACAGGGAGGAGUCGCCCAUGGCGGGAGUCUGUGUACAGCAGAGUUCUGUCGCCAGUUCAUGACUAAACUGAGAAUGUUUUUGUUUUUUUCUAUUUGUAUUUUUUUAGGUGGUGUUUUUUUCAACAAAAAAGUGCAUAGAGAUCAAAAAGCUGCUUAUAAUUAGAGGGGCGAUUAUCACCGCUACCACAGUGCAGAGCCCACCAUCUCUCCAACUACUCUUCCCCAUGCCACACUUGGGUUUCUCUAUUUACUUUGGUUUUCAAAUGGGAUUUUUGGAUUUACCAUUUUCAGUGUUCACAGGGAAUUACAGAUUUUUACUACAAACUGUCUCGCAUUGCAUACUUCACAACAGUACUGAAACACCCAUACAUUUCACAUUCACCUCUCACUUGACUGCAUGGUUUGCAUUAUUCCUUGUUAUUGUCAGCUGAGAGCUUAGAAGUGUGUGGUUAGAAAAUUACGUGUCCCUCUUUUGCCAACGGCUAUUUAGUAAAGAAAUUGCUACAGUACCAUAACACUUCCAGCAACUCCUAUCCACACAUUUGCCUUUUUCCCCCUGUCUUUGGCAAGAAUUAUUUUAUCUUUUGUACUUUUUGUUCUCAUUUGAAUUUCUCUGUUCUGUUGUGCAAUUCCACCUGUGAGUUGUGAGACCUGUAGAGUUGCAGAGGAAUGAAGCAUUAUGCAGGGGGGUUCCGUCCCGCUGGGUUUGUCCGUGUCACUCUUUCUCUGUUUGAGAUGGGUGCCGAUGCGUACUGUGGGCCGGCGCUCUCUAGCCGAGGUCAACAUGUGUGCAGCUGGGCAGCAGAGAGCUGGGAGGCCCCAGAGCAGUGAAGGUGGGCCCUGACCAGGUCCCUGGAACAGGGCCACACUGACGAGAUCUACUGGGGAUCAGCAGCCAGGGCCGGUCCUGCCCAAAACUAAAGUACAGAUGUCCGGGCAGUAGCAGUUUUUUGAGAUAAACCUUUGGCCUUAUGAUUUUUUUGACUCUGAAAUGAGGGUGGGUGAAAGAAGCUGGACAUUAUCGUUUAAAUGAGAAAAUAGCUUUCCUGUAUUUUUGAAGUAUGGAUAAAAACAAAAAAAUCUUAAAAAAUCUAAAAUAGGAAGAAAAGGUGUUUUUGAGAAUGCUAAUUUAAGAGGCCUUUAACUAAAAUGUAUGACUUGCAAGGCCCAGUGAUUGCAGGGCCUUGCAAGUUCACAGUGGUGUUUUUGCAAGAUGGAUGGAAUUAGCUACGACUGUGUCCCUUCCUGCUUUUUACUUGCUUUUCUUUGCUUUGUUUCUUCAGCAUGUGGUUCCUCCAACAGAGCUUCUGCACAAAUGUCUUCGGUUCUUCUUGAAAAUGAAAACAUGCAGAAUUUUAUGUGACUGAUUUUUUUUUUUGUCUCACAAUUAUGCUGUGAAUUUUACAAAGAUUUAUUUUCCCUUUUGAUAAUUUAUUGUACCAAAGCUGUUUUUUAUAGCACAUAGAUGUCUGUAACAAAUAAUGUAGCAGUUCUGCACUUUGACACAAGGUGUAUCAAGACCUUUUUUAAAUGUCAGUAAAAAUGGCUGUAUCUAUUGCUUUAGCAAAACUGGAACUGUUGUUGAACUCAAUACAUUUACUGUUAGCUGUAUCCUCGACAGAAUUGGUUGUAAGGUUCUCAAAAAAAGACAAAAAGACAAAAACAAUCUCAUUGGUAUAACUUUUUUUCCCGUUAUCAAGGACUUGAGGGACAAUAGAUGCCAACGCUGGUUGCUACUCUGCGGGUUCCGGAGUAUCAGUAUGGUGGCUAUGAGUCGAGGCAAGUCCUCGUAUUCAUGAGUCGAGAGGGAAAAAAUGUUAAUAACUGCAUUAAUCCUUCGAUUUGAGACCUGGGAUUUAGAGGCUGUUUCAAACAUGCCUAUCUAUCUGGGUAAAGCUGCCUUAAAAUGACUUUUGGCAGUCUUCAUGGUAGUGGCUAAAAUGGUACCGCUUUCCCCCCCUCAAUUUUGAAGCAACCCUAUUUGACCUAGCUAGCAGAGGCACUGUACACAUCCACAUGUUUAGAUGGUUUUGGAGAUGGGGUACUGCUCUAAAUUAGCUCAAAUUCACAUGUUUGACUGAAGCUCUCACCAUGGGUGUUAAAUCCAAAAGGAAACUAGUAGGGAUGGAUGGAGUGAGAAGUGAGCCCUGUCUGCUGGAGCGUCAUACUCCAGUCUCCUCGUGUGAUGCCAGAGAGAACUGGCCAACGUUUUGUACCAGUUGCAAAUGGAACGGGGCGGCAACAGCUAGAGGAAAGGUGUCCAUGACAACACAGGCUUCAGGUGUUUACUUUUCAACCCCAUUUUAAUAGUUGAAAUAGAAUUUAUGUAUAUAUUUAUAUUUUUUUAAUAAAGGAAGUUUAGAACUCACUACUUUUUUCCUAAUGGUAUUUUGAGUACAUUUAAGUCAAUGUGGAGACCAUGCAGUGGAAGUUAUUCUGUGAUAUUAGUCAAUGGGUAACAGUGCUUCCAGGCCAAAGUAGUUGACAAUGCCAGUACAAAUGCAAAACUUGUAGGGUUUAAAUUUAAACAGGACAAUAGAUAUGCAUACCUUAAAUAUUAUAGACAGGGUAUAGUGUGUGGGUGUAUGUCUACGAACCUGAAUGACAGCUGUGUUUUAAUAUAUAACAAAUACAUAAGAAAUGAUGUGCGUAUUACAGGAACUAAUUUAAGUUGCAUUAAAAUUGGCAUAAGCUUCAACCGUGGGUCCAUUUGAAGUCAGGCUACUGAUACAUGUGUGUGAAAGCCAUGAUCGUCACCAUAUAACCAGUCAACAAACAUCCAACGUUUACUCCUAAGUGUUCAGUAUAAUUUCUGCUCUGCUCCCUGUUUCAUUCAAAUAAAAAGCUUUGUCCUACUUGCCACCCUUUAUUUUCUGUCCCCCAGUCUGAUUUUGAGUGAUUGACAACAUAGUUUGGUUACAGGACAUCUGACAUGCACUGUUAAGAUUAAACGGCAUGGGGAAGUACCUGUGUCCACAGAUUGUAAGAUCUAGUCAAUACUUGCUGUGUAUAUGAUGUUACAAAAAGAUACAAAAUGGACAAGCCCUUUGUAUUAUAUUCAAGCGGUCGUAUGUAUGAUAUAAAAAAGUUCAUUAACUUGUA